rnacentral:rRNA from 1 species
UUUGAUCCUGGCUCAGAUUGAACGCUGGCGGCAUGCCUUACACAUGCAAGUCGAACGGUAGCGGGCCUUCGGGUGCCGACGAGUGGCGAACGGGUGAGUAAUGUAUCGGAACGUACCAUUGAGUGGGGGAUAACGUAGCGAAAGUUACGCUAAUACCGCAUAUUCUCUCCGGAGGAAAGCAGGGGACCGCAAGGCCUUGCGCUCUUUGAGCGGCCGAUAUCAGAUUAGCUAGUUGGUGAGGUAAAGGCUCACCAAGGCGACGAUCUGUAGCGGGUCUGAGAGGAUGAUCCGCCACACUGGAACUGAGACACGGUCCAGACUCCUACGGGAGGCAGCAGUGGGGAAUUUUGGACAAUGGGGGCAACCCUGAUCCAGCCAUGCCGCGUGAGUGAAGAAGGCCUUCGGGUUGUAAAGCUCUUUCGGCCGGGAAGAAAUCGCAUGGGUUAAUACCCUGUGCGGAUGACGGUACCGGCAUAAGAAGCACCGGCUAACUACGUGCCAGCAGCCGCGGUAAUACGUAGGGUGCGAGCGUUAAUCGGAAUUACUGGGCGUAAAGCGUGCGCAGGCGGUUUUGUAAGACAGGCGUGAAAUCCCCGGGCUCAACCUGGGAACUGCGUUUGUGACUGCAAGGCUAGAGUACGGCAGAGGGGGGUGGAAUUCCACGUGUAGCAGUGAAAUGCGUAGAGAUGUGGAGGAACACCAAUGGCGAAGGCAGCCCCCUGGGUCGAUACUGACGCUCAUGCACGAAAGCGUGGGUAGCAAACAGGAUUAGAUACCCUGGUAGUCCACGCCCUAAACGAUGUCAACUAGGUGUUGGGUGGGUAAAACCAUUUAGUACCGGAGCUAACGCGUGAAGUUGACCGCCUGGGGAGUACGGCCGCAAGGUUAAAACUCAAAGGAAUGACGG